rnacentral:tRNA from 1 species
GCGCCGCAAGCUCAACGGGGCCGAGCACCCGUCUCUUAAACAGGGGGCCGCGGGUUCGACCCCCGCGCGGCGCA